rnacentral:misc_RNA from 1 species
GAUGAAGAACGUAGCGAAAUGCGAUAAGUAAUGUGAAUUGCAGAAUUCAGUGAAUCAUCGAAUCUUUGAACGCACAUUGCGCCCAUUAGUAUUCUAGUGGGCAUGCCUGUUCGAGCGUCAUUUCAACCCUUAAGCCUAGCUUAGUAUUGGGAAUCGACUUUACUGUCGUUCCUCAAAUUCAACGGCGGAUUUAUAGCAAUCUCUGAACGUAGUAAUUUUUUUCCUCGUUUUUGAAAUACUAUAAACCUCAGCCGCUAAACCCCCAAUUUUUCUAUGGUUGACCUCGGAUCAGGUAGGAAUACCCGCUGAACUUAAGCAUAUCAAUAACGGAGGA